rnacentral:rRNA from 1 species
CCUACGGGUGGCAGCAGUGGGGAAUAUUGCACAAUGGGGGAAACCCUGAUGCAGCGACGCCGCGUGAGUGAAGAAGUAUUUCGGUAUGUAAAGCUCUAUCAGCAGGGAAGAAAUAGCGACCUUUGGGUCGCCAGACGGUACCUGACUAAGAAGCCCCGGCUAACUACGUGCCAGCAGCCGCGGUAAUACGUAGGGGGCAAGCGUUAUCCGGAUUUACUGGGUGUAAAGGGAGCGUAGACGGCAGCACAAGUCUGAAGGUAAAUGCCGGGGCUUAACCCCGGAACUGCUUUGGAAACUGGGCAGCUAGAGUGCAGGAGAGGUAAGUGGAAUUCCUAGUGUAGCGGUGAAAUGCGUAGAUAUUAGGAGGAACACCAGUGGCGAAGGCAGCAUACCGGCGCUCAACUGACGCUCAUGCACGAAAGUGUGGGUAUCGAACAGGAUUAGAUACCCUUGUAGUC